rnacentral:rRNA from 1 species
UACGUAGGGCGCAAGCGUUGUCCGGAAUUAUUGGGCGUAAAGAGCUCGUAGGCGGCUUGUCACGUCGGGUGUGAAAGCCCGGGGCUUAACCCCGGGUCUGCAUUCGAUACGGGCAGGCUAGAGUGUGGUAGGGGAGAUCGGAAUUCCUGGUGUAGCGGUGGAAUGCGCAGAUAUCAGGAGGAACACCGGUGGCGAAGGCGGGUCUCUGGGCAGUAACUGACGCUGAGGAGCGAAAGCGUGGGGAGCGAACAGG